CAGCCUCUCAAAGUGCUGGGAUUACAGGCAUGAGCCACCAUGCCCGGCUGGAAUUUAAUUCUUUAUUUGUUUCCCAGCUUAAACAUUUUAAAGGUAUAGAAAUGCUACCGAUUUUUGUGCAUUGAUUUUGUAUCUUGACACUACUGAGGUUAUUAAUCAGGUCUAGGAGUCUUUAGGGUUUUCUGUGUAUACAGUGAACAGAUAACUUGACUUUCUCUUUUAUUUCUUUCUCUUGCCCGAUAGCUCUGGCUAGGACUUCCAGUACUUGGUUGAACAGUAGAGGAAACAGCUCCAGGAGAUGGAAAACCAGCUGCCUUCAUCAGAAACUCACAGGUGGCAUUUCUAUGGGGAGUCAACACAAGCAUUGGCUGGAAAGCCGAUACCUACAAGAUGGCACUUGGACAUGCUGAAGGAAGGAGCCUCAAGGUCUCUCUGUCCUCCCCACCCGGCUGUCUUUCCCUAAACCUUUAUCUCCCUGAGAUCCAGACCCAAGAGAAACAAUUGUUUCUCCUUUCCCUCCCUGUAAGACCAAGAAGUAACCACACCUGAACAGGCUUUUUCACAAGAUAAUGUACCAGUUAAUCUUUGUUGCCUGAUCCAUUCAUCCACCUUGGUGUUGGGGGAGACAGGGGAAAAGAGAAAGAGAAUGAUGAAUGAGACCCAGUCCUUGCCCUGGAAGGGCAAACAGUAGCUCUUCCACAGAGUGAUCCUCAACGGAUGGCUCUUCUCUCUGCUCCCAUAACCUGUUUUGCCAGGAUGGUAUAUAGGCUUCUGAACCCCGCUGGGAGGUGGACAGUCACUCUCUGAUUCUCCUCGUGUAUACACAGUGAAUAAAUUUGUAUGCCCUGCUAUUAAUCUGCAUCUUGUCAGUGGUUUUUCAGCGACUCUUCGGGAAGGCCACAGGGAACAUAUCCCUUGGCUCUUACACUAAUGUGUUGUAUUUCUCCAAAUAUAUGUGAGAUUAUUUUUGGCCAGAACUCAAGCUUCUGCUUCUUGAAUGUCCCACUCAGCUGAGAAGCAAAAUACAUAGUUGAUGUUUAAUACCUAUUUCAUCAUUAAUCACUGUAUAUGUAUAUUCCCUAAGUAUAAUGCUGAUGGACAAUCCAACCCAGACUCUGCCCUUUUGAUUUGUGGGAAGAUUGUGUCCCCAAGAAUGUUUUAUUUUGCCACUGAGAAGUGAAUUCCAGGAGAAUCAAAGUAGUUUGAAAAAGGGGGAAAUGGCAGACCUUUCUUAAAACUGUCUGGAAGCUGCCAGAAUCGUAGGCUAUCAGGGCUAGAAAAGACUUGGGAAUCAUCUGGUCCAUCCUCAUUUUACAGUGAAGGCCCAAAGACUUCCUUAAAGAUACAGCAAGGUGCCAAGCUGGGACUCCUAACCAAACUCUUUUCAUUAUUUUUCAUAACUUCUCUGAUUUCUCCAGAGUCAACUUUCCUCACAAUCUGAAUGAAAGCCCUCUCCCCAGAGGCUGUUUGGGCUGCCGGGAAUCUACGGGAAUCCGUGCAUCUACUUCUUACCAAGGUCGCUCUGCAGAGUUACUGCCAGGGGCCAGGUGGCCUGGCACGAGAUCUGAGAUUCGGCAUCCUUUGCCG
rnacentral:lncRNA from 1 species